rnacentral:lncRNA from 1 species
CUUUGCUGUUUGCUUUUUCAGAUCUCUGCCAUGGAUGACUUCUGCCUCUUCUUCCAGCAGGACAUGGAUGUGGCAGCUGCUGAGGCUCUGCACAAGUGGGAAGGAAAUAAAUGUGGGGAUGUAUGUAGUUGCAGCUUCACAGGCUGCCAUCGUGGCAUUGUAAAGAUACCUCAUUAUUCCAGGGAGCUUGUGGAAGUGUUUGUGUCUGUUUGUGUGCACAGUGAACAAUGCCAUGGACUAUUCACUGGAGUGAUAAAUUGUGCUUACUCCCAUGUCAGAACAGGUAAGAGAACUGAUGUUCUUCCUAAGAUGGCAACUAAUGUCUUUUGCAAGGGAAUGUAAUUUCCUUAAUGACUAUCUGAAUUCUGGAAAAGAAGGAUUUCUGUAAAGAACUGGGGUGAGUACAGCCCAUAAAAUAAUUUUCUUGUGGCUAGAAGUUUUUUAUA